AUGGUGCCCCGCUUAGAGGCUAAGCCCUACUGGUCGGCUACUCACGCGUCGAGAUGGCCUCCUCCAGGUCCACCCCUCUGCACGACGACGAUCAACUCCGGCGACAGGAUCAUGGCGGAAGAUUCAUGCUUUCGCCCAAUUGUUUCUGUACCAGAGGAUCAACCCGGAUUCCGUCCGAGUCCCCAAUGGCGGCGGCAGCAGAACGGCGCCAACAGGAAGCCAGCAGAACCCGCGCCGUCACCCACACUAAGCAUGGAUGAGCGCGACAUUGCCCCAGCCGUGGACGCCGAUAGGUCGAGCCUCGCGUCCUACCUCGCCCGCACCUCGCUCGAGAAGCGCCAGCCACGAGGGCGUUCGGGGUCCUCAUCCGCAGCCAUCGUGAGCGACCACCAGGCGCAAGAAAUGCCCGGUGGCGCAAGGUCAGGCGGCGCUGCCGGACGUUUUUUGAUCCUUAGGAUGGCCCGACACCUGAGCCCGAGCUGA
rnacentral:rRNA from 1 species